AGCGAACGCUGGCGGCAGGCUUAACACAUGCAAGUCGAACGGGCUUCUUCGGAAGUCAGUGGCAGACGGGUGAGUAACACGUGGCAACGUGCCCUUCGGUUCGGAAUAACUCAGGGAAACUUGAGCUAAUACCGGAUACGCCCUUUUGGGGAAAGGUUGACUGCCGAAGGAUCGGCCCGCGUCUGAUUAGCUUGUUGGUGGGGUAACGGCCUACCAAGGCGACGAUCAGUAGCUGGUCUGAGAGGAUGAUCAGCCACACUGGGACUGAGACACGGCCCAGACUCCUACGGGAGGCAGCAGUGGGGAAUAUUGGACAAUGGGCGCAAGCCUGAUCCAGCCAUGCCGCGUGAGUGAUGAAGGCCUUAGGGUUGUAAAGCUCUUUUGUCCGGGACGAUAAUGACGGUACCGGAAGAAUAAGCCCCGGCUAACUUCGUG
rnacentral:rRNA from 1 species